UACGGGGGGGGCAAGCGUUGUUCGGAAUUACUGGGCGUAAAGGGCUCGUAGGCGGCCAACUAAGUCGGACGUGAAAUCCCCAGGCUCAACCUGGGAACUGCCUUUGAUACUGGUAGUCUCGAGUCCGGAAGAGGUGAGUGGAAUUCCGAGUGUAGAGGUGAAAUUCGUAGAUAUUCGGAGGAACACCAGUGGCGAAGGCGGCUCACUGGUCCGGUACUGACGCUGAGGUGCGAAAGCGUGGGGAGCAAACAGG
rnacentral:rRNA from 1 species